AGCAAUGUAGCUCAGUGGGUAGAGCAAGCAGCUCAGAACUGCUGUGUCGAGGGUUCAACUCCCUCUAUUGCGUA
rnacentral:tRNA from 1 species